GUGAAGGAAGUAAGAACUGAAAUGAAGAAAGGAAAUGUUAAUUACAGCUUACGAUUCUAGAGGAAAAACACCUGAUCCUAUAGUAAUAAAAUGCAAGCAUCCCAUCAAGCUUCUGGGUCCCAAAGUGGAAAAGGUUUCAUCUCCACUAGGAAAAUGAUCUGUUACUGAUGGGUCAUUUUCCUCACAUAAAUGAGUCCACAGUGCAACUACAUUCAGGGAGAACCAUCACUUCAACAGGAAUUGGAAUGGGGCCUAACAUGUAGCCUAAGUGGUACAGAGGCCUUGUGUCACCCUUCUGCACCAAUCAGUAGAAUUUACCCAAGAAGUCACAUUGAUGGGGACUACUCAACAUGAGUUGCUGAAUUUGGCCUUGAGACAGCAUUGAACUGUGAUGUAUACAAAGUAUUAAAAUGUUUUUAAGGGAUUUCUUGCUCUGUGGGCUGUGUUUCAUAGAAAAAAAUCUGAGCUACUAUUUAAAAAAAGAAAACCCAAUUCCUUUCCUGCAGGACAAGGCUCCAGACUGUGGAAGAAAUUGUCCAUUCAGUCCAGCUUGCAUCAUAAGGGUAACGAGAAUGAACACAAAAGGUUAAUUAGAACUUUUAACUUGACAAAAAUAGUCAGAAAAAUGUAUAUUUUUCUAUCACACUUAUCUUUAAAAAAUACAUAACUAAUUUGAUAGAUGACUCCAUAAAGUUAUAAACUCAGUUAACUUUAUUUACUGGAUUUGGACACUAUGAAGG